rnacentral:rRNA from 1 species
GGCCCGACCUCCCAACCCUUUGUCUACCUUACCACAACGUUGCUUCGGCGGAUCGGUCUUCGGACCGCCGGGCGUGCAAACGCCUGGAGAGUGUCCGCCGAUGGCCCAACCAAAAACUCUUGAACCAAAACAUGUCGUCUGAAUUUAUUUGAUAUAAUCAAAAACAAAACUUUCAACAACGGAUCUCUUGGUUCUGGCAUCGAUGAAGAACGCAGCGAAAUGCGAUAAGUAAUGCGAAUUGCAGAAUUUCCGUGAGUCAUCGAAUCUUUGAACGCACAUUGCGCCCACUGGUAUUCCGGUGGGCAUGCCUGUUCGAGCGUCAUUAUCCUCCCUCAAACCUCGGGUUUGGUGUUGGGCCCGCGUCGGUCGUCCGCGACCGACUGGCCCCAAAGACAAUGACGGCGUCCGUGGGACCCUCGGUGCAACGAGCUUUUCGGAACACGCGUCCAGUAUCAAGGACCUUCCGGGCCGGUCUAACCUCCAAUUUAUCACAAGGUUGACCUCGGAUCAGGUAAGAAUACCCGCUGAACUUAAGCAUAUCAAUAAGCGGAGGA